GAGCCAGACUCCUACGGGAGGCAGCAGUGGGGGAUAUUGGACAAUGGGGGGAACCCUGAUCCAGCGACGCCGCGUGAGUGAAGAAGUAUCUCGGUAUGUAAAGCUCUAUCAGCAGGGAAGAAGAAAUGACGGUACCUGAGUAAGAAGCCCCGGCUAACUACGUGCCAGCAGCCGCGGUAAUACGUAGGGGGCAAGCGUUAUCCGGAAUUACUGGGUGUAAAGGGAGCGUAGACGGUGAUGUAAGUCUGGAGUGAAAGGCGGGGGCCCAACCCCCGGACUGCUCUGGAAACUAUGUGACUGGAGUGCAGGAGAGGUGAGCGGAAUUCCUAGUGUAGCGGUGAAAUGCGUAGAUAUAUGGAAGAACACCAGUGGCGAAGGCGGCUCUCUGGUCUGCAACUGACGCUGAGGCUCGAAGGCAUGGGUAGCGAACAGGAUUAGAUACCCCAGUA
rnacentral:rRNA from 1 species